UCCCUAGACACCACCCUAUUGCCAGAACCUGGUCCUGGCCACUUCAGAUCUCCUCCCCCAAUCUCAAGAUUAGAAUGUGAGGUGUAGCGUCACGUGGAGCCAGAUAGCCUCUCAUUGGACUGAAGACCAAUGGCUCCCCAGGAAUUCUCCAGGUCUUCAGAACCAGAUUAGGACUGCUGGGGUAUCCAGCCUCAGGGAGUGAACAGCCCGUUUGCAGUCUCUCUUGUGUGAAGAUGACCACUGUUGGACUUCCCAAACUGUAUCAGGUCUUUCCCACCUUCAUGCCUCUACUUGGGGACUUCUCCACAGAAAAAGGCAAAGCUGACACCAGGAGCGUUGUGUUUGGUCAUCCGAGGGAACCCGUGUCACUCCCUGGGCCUCCCUGUUGGUGCCAACGGAGUAAGGGAUGGUGGAUGAAUGAAGGUACUAUUCCUCUAAUCUUUUGGAAGCCUCUUUCCCUGGCCCUGGAUGUUUUCUUCCCCGUGAGCACUGGUAAGUAGGCCGCUGGAUUCCCAAGGCUCUGAGGCUAUCCUUGCAGCUUGGUGCUAUCCUGGGAGCUGUGGCUGUCUCCUUAGCCCUAACCAUCUUCAAGCCUAAGGGAGAUCACGGGGCUCCACCCCAGUUCUCUGGCUGGCUGGGUCAGAACAUUCAUCUCUGGCAAACAAGAUCUCUGGGAGAGGGAUCACUGCUAUGAUCCUGUCUUUUCCUGUCACAGAAUUCUCUAUUUCACGUAUCUUGUCUAUAUAUUUUUUUCUUUAAAAAAAUUUUUUUUUGUUUGUUUGUUUUGGUUUUUCAAGACAGGGUUUCUCUGUGUAGCUUUGAGCCUUUCCUGGAACUUGCUUUGGAGACCAGGCUGGCCUCGAACUCACAGAGAUCCACCUGCCUCUGCCUCCCGAGUGCUGGGAUUAAAGGCGUACGCCACCACCGCCCGGCUAAAAAACAUUUUAUUUUAUGUGCAUUGGUAUUUUGUCUCCAUGUGUGUCUGUGUGAGGGUGUCAGAUCUUGGAGUUACAGUUAUUAUCUGCCAUGUGGGUGGUGGGAAUUGAACCUGGGUCCUUUGGAAGAGCAGUCAGUGCUCUUAACCACUGAGCCAUCUCUCCAGCCCCUUGUCUGUAUUUUUCUUAUGUAGAAUAGUAAUUCUGAUCUCUGUCGCCCCUUGUUU